GCACCCGUAGCUCAAUGGAUAGAGCGUUUGUCUACGGAACAAAAGGUUGGAGGUUCGAGUCCUCUCGGGUGCA
rnacentral:tRNA from 1 species